CAUGGCAGAGGUGGAACGGGAUGGGCUUUAAGGUCCCUUCCAACCCAAACCAGUCUGGGAUUCUGUGUUCUGGGGGCACAACCAGAUCUCAGUUGAGCAGGAUCCUCCACUCUGAGCAGAAAGAGGUUGAGGGGCUGGGAGAGGAGCCGUGGUUUGGGAAGCCUGGAUGCUGUGGCCGCAGCUUUCCUGCACAGCAGGAGCCCGUCAGAGCCUCACACUGGGGAAACAGCAGCUGAAGAUUCAGGUAAGGGAUAAUAGCGAGGAAAACAAAAUAAGAGCGAGAGAAAACUGAGCAGGAGAAAAAAAUUCUCAGCUGCAAAAGAGUAACACUGCUAAACAGGACGGGCUCGGUGCAGCCCCAAAUCCUGAGGCUCUGGGAAGAGCCAGCUCGGAGAAUCCCCAGUGAUUGACUGGGGGUUUAAUUUAUUCCUCGCAGCCAGACAGUGCUCUCUGCCUGUGCCGCUGCUCAGGCACGGCAGCCAACUCUCCCCUCCACCCGAGAGGGGCGGCUGCUCCUGCAUCCGAGUGUGGGCAGCUCCCGGCUGCGGAGCGACGCAGACAAAGCCAUGAGCGACAGGGGGGACACAGGGCUGGAGCCCCCGAAGGUGUGACCCAGCCCUCCCGGAGCUGUGUUUGUGCUGCUCCACGCCGGAGGCACCGGGCUCUGAUCCCCCCGGGGCAUUUCCCCAGCGCUCAUUCGCUCUGCACAGAGCCCAGCCGGCUCUCCAGCCGCAGCAAAACCUUUGCAUCCCUGCGGCUUCCCGGAGCCCUGCUCGCAGCAGCGGCUCCCCCCCGGCUGCCCCCGAGCAAAUGUCACCCGUACCCAAUGAGGCAGACCCCGAGGUGCCACGGAUGGAUCCCAGGAUUCUCAUUUUCCUUCUCUACGUGAUGAUCCUGCACGAGCUGGUGAGUGGAUGGAUGGAGUACCAGAAGCAGGUGGCCAAGCCGAAGAAGCAGGCGGGUCCCGUUUGGUCCUCCAGCAGCACCACCAGAUCAGCCCCCUCCAGCUUCUCCAGGCCCCUGGUGCACUCCGUGCGCAGGGAGAGGUACCGGGACUGGAGGAAACCGGGAAGGAUCAUCCGGAAAGCCUGAGCACGGAUCUGGGAGCGUGGGGACACUGCUGAGCCAGAGGCAGCCACCCCUCAGGGUCUGCAGCACCUCACACACGGAGAGAAUCCUCCAGGGAUCUGAAUCCUGCAGCUUUCCAGGGCUGAGAGGGAAUGAGCCCCUUCCUCCUGGGGAUUCAUCCCUGCCUGCUGAGGAGCCACUGUGGAGCAGUGGCAUAGCCCAAGGUGUGACUUUGCUUCCUUCUUCCCCAAGGGUUGAGUGGAUGGAGAGCAGAUUUCCCAGGGGAAAAAUGGAAUUUGCUCCUGCAUGGGCAGCCCUGGGAAGACUCCCAGUGGUUUCAGGCUCCUCUCCUCCCGCUCCAGGACCGCGUGGCCAGGCAGCAGCGUUUCCCAAAGUGGCUGGAAAACCUUCAGUAUCCAGUUUGUCACCACUCCCAGGAGAAGUUGCCUCCCCUGGGACACCCAGAAGUCACAGCACUUUGGGAAUGCUGGCUCCCUGUUAAGUCUCAUGCACUAAGAGCCUGCAAAUUUUUUUUCUGCUUUUCCUCACCUUUGUUAAAAUGAGUUAAUCCAGGAAAGAGGAGGAAAAAUGCCCUGAACCAGUGACUCAGGGUUAUGCCACCAAAUGCAAUUUACUGCAUUGGCCUUGGAAUUAGCAUUUUUGGAGCCUUCCCAGCAGCUGAGGCAAAUAAAUGUAAGAGCCAUUUUCUAAUGAGCAGAUAGGUGGGGAAGGAACACCGUAGUGCUCUUUCAGACUCUGCUAUUUAGGCAUAAAAUCAGAUUUUAGAGGCAGAAGUCAGCUGUUGCACCCUGCAGCCCCCAGAGCUGUUGUGGGCAGGGUGGGAAUCGUGGAGCACGGGAGGGAUUCUGACACUGGGCUCCAACAGCAGCUGCCCGUGGCCAAACUGCUCCUUAUUUGCUGAACAUAAUGUUUGGCUCAAACACAGCCUGUUUUCCUCGUUGCCAACCAUUUGUGAGCCUGACUCAGGCUCACAGAUGCAUUAUCCAGAAGCAGAUAGGAAGGGGAGUCGGAAUAGAUUAUGCAUUCAUUAUCCAGAAGUAGCCACCAGAUACAUUUGCACAUUUGUCUGCUGCUCAGUUGUUUGCAAAUCGUUCCUGGUGGUUGAUGCUGUGUUUGUUCAGUCAUCCAGGGCUGGAAGAUCCCAAUCCUCUCCCCCAGGCAGGCUGGAGCAGUAAUUUGGAUGUAAAUCUCUACUUUCACCCAGGGGAAAUGAAGUUUCUACCUUGAAGUUCAUGCCUUGUGUUGAGAUGGUUUUGAAAAGGGAGGCAGAAGUAGCUGUGAACAGUUUCUGCACAUUUCAAAGCAUAAACUCUGUGAAACUGUGCCUCAGCUCUGUUCCCCUGUCCUGAUCCAUGCAGGUACAAGCGACAGCAGCAGAUGGAGAAGGUGUCAGGAGGGAAAACGUUCAGGAAGUGCUGCUGUGUGCUGGGGGAAUUUGCUUCCCCGGAGCUGAGUGUGUGUCUGGGGGAUGUUCUCCCUGCUCUUCUGCCCGAGCCCGUGGGAGUUUGGGAACACUGGCUGUGGAAAAAGGGUUUGAGUUAAUUCCUGCAGCAGGGCAGGGGAGGACUGGCCCCAGGGACCACGCUGGGCUCCCAGCCUCAGCAGGACAGACAGACUGAGCAGGGACAGAGAGAUGCACCUUUAAGGAAGGGUGAAGGGCCAGGACUGCCUUGCCCUGAUGAUCACAUGCUGGAUUUAUCCCUGUAAAUAUAAACUUGUUUACUCCCAAUAAAUUCUUUUACACACACAGA